ACAGGCUCCUGACUGCCUCCCUCCCAGCUCGAACCAGAGAAGAAGCAUCUAAACCCCUGCCAACAUUUCCCCCCUUUCUUCAGCUGCCUUGGCAAGGAGCCAAACGUCUUGGUUUCCUCAGCAAAGGUGACAGCUGCAGCACCAGGCAAUGCUUAGAAGUUUUACCGUCGUGCCAGAACUCCACCUUGAGUAAUUAUUCUGGGGCUGCAAGUCUGACACUGUGAUGAUGGUGCAGCACCGGGGCCCUACAGGGGACAGUCCUGUCACCCUUUCUGUUCACCUCUACAACUCAGACUUCAGAUACAACUCCAAGUCCUGCCGCCUGCAGAAGUUCUUUUACGACUCUGCCAUUGUGGGCUGCAUCAAAGAGGCUGAGU